GCGGCAUUGGUGUAACGGUAACGCACUGGCUUCCCAAGCCAGGAAUACGGGUUCGAUUCCCGUAUGCCGCU
rnacentral:tRNA from 1 species